rnacentral:lncRNA from 1 species
CAGUCACAUAGCUUAAAUCAGCUUCCAGGAUUACUUUCCCUUUGUUGCUGUAAUUUGGCAUUGGUCCUUUUCUGAUGUAAUUUCCCCCUCUCUAGGAUGUGACCACCUAAGAGGGAGGCUUCAUGGUGACAUAGGAUUGGAUAAACCAAUAAACCACAAUCUCGUGUCUUCCUCAACGCUUUCUCCAAAAGCUUUGAAGAACAGGGGGAAUGUAAAGGAAAUUUAAAAAUGUCAGGACCUCCAAACUUAAGCCCAGAUGCUGAGUCAUGCAACACCCACUUUCAAAUGAAUACCUGUUACUAGCAUUAUGCAUCAGCCAGAUCCCCAUGGAAAGAUGAUGAAUUAGAGCGGUUGUUAUCGAAUCUGCCACCAGAGGGCGAUCCAGGCUGAAGGUGACAUUACACUUAGAGGGAUCCACAGAUUCAAGAGGCUGCUUGGGGAGGGCAGCACAGUGAAGUACAAGGACUUUGACAUCAGAGAGGCCUGGAUUCAAGUCCCAAUUUCUGUGUGUGAUCUCUCUCUCUGCGGAAGCCAGCCACCGCUCUCCAAGGACUCUCGAGCAGCUCCAUCUACAGAUUCACAUGGAGAAGAAUUAAGGGUUCCUGCCAAUCACCAGCACCACUUUGCCAGCCUUGUAAGUGGGCCACCUUGGAAUUGGAGCCUCCAGUUCCUACUGACAUCUGACUGCAACAUCAUGAGAGACCCUGAGUUUGAACCACCCAGCUGAGCUGCUUCUGAGCUAACCCACUGAAACCGUGAAAGUACCUGAAUGAAACAACACCCAGUAGCCACUAGCACACCUAGCUCCCAGAUCUGUUUUUGAUGCCAUUCUUCAGUAAAAGGAAGCAAGGCUGCUUGGAGAAAUUGCUAUCAAGGACUGGGGUAGAAAAUAUACAAGAUGAAAUUGGAGCAUCUUGUAGUGCUUGAAAACAGUUGGCAUCUGUGUGAAGAUGUGAAUGGAGGAGGCAGAGUAGGCAGUGAGUGCCGCAGCCACAGCUUGUGUUCUCUGCAGCCCUGGCACAGAAGAUAGGAACACUCAUGGGGGAUGCGGCCACUGUGAUGUCUUCCCACACAAGAAGUGCCAAGUGCUUUUCUCAUGCUUUUCUGGAUUGUCCCAUGGUGGACGAGUCAGCAGGAGUGAGAUGGAGCAGCACAGUAGAGGGGCCAGGAUAUCGUUGUACAUAUUCUCAGCUAAGUGAGCACCAAUAGAGGAGAGGGAGAGUCUCAUGGAAGUUCCUUCUAAGCCUUUGGCUCUUUUUACCUUCAACAAGGUGUGCCACCUCUUUGAUCCAGCAAGUGGGAAGAACAGUCCCGGCCUCUUUGCACACAAGACCGUGAUACCAAUGCACCAUCACAGGCCCCACAGGGGAGCUGUCCGCUUCCCCACACAGCUGCUAGGGGCUCUUUUGCAUGUUCCCAACCUUUCCUGCCUUUAUCUGAUAUUCGUUCCUUAGAUCCUGGGAUGAGGAGGUGGACCAGCAGAAGGUGGGCUUGUGAAGGCAGCCCGGGGUCCAAAUCCUCCUGGCUCUUCAGCUUAGCGGGUUAGUUAACAUUCAGAAGCCUUCAUCUCCCAUCUGCAAAAUGGGCAUGUCCAACUCAGAAGCUGCCUUGAAGAAAGGGUCUACCCAGCAUGGUGCGUGGAGCCUAAGCAGUCAGUACUUCAGGACUUCACCCGGCCCCUUUCCAAUAACUGCUGCUGUCGCCCUCACAGGAUGUCACCUUCAGCGUCUGAAAGCUGGGUUUGAUGCGUCUGGAAAGGCGUCCCUGACAGGCGUCGUUGCCAGGAGCCCCUAGUGCCACCAGCAGCCAGCAGGGGAGGGCGUCCUCUGCCCGCUCACUUCUGACCCUUCUCUCGUUGCACCCGGAACAUGGUGCAGCUGGGAGCAGCCUGGGCUGCGCGGAAGGCUCAGAUUUGGGGACGGCCCUUGCCAGUGACUGUGAGCUGGGGUGUCUUGGAAACUCCCAGUCUCAGCUUCUCCAUUUAUAAGAUGAGAAUGAUCAUACCAGACUCAGGCAAGGUUGUUUGUGCAUUAGUGAAAUCAGACGUAUUAAAUAAAGUACCACAUUGAUCGUGGAGUUGUUGAAUAACCAAGAACACGCCUAUCUGUCUC